CCUACGGGUGGCAGCAGUGGGGAAUAUUGGGCAAUGGGCGCAAGCCUGACCCAGCAACGCCGCGUGAAGGAAGAAGGCUUUCGGGUUGUAAACUUCUUUUAAGGGGGAAGAGCAGAAGACGGUACCCCUUGAAUAAGCCACGGCCAACUACGUGCCAGCAGCCGCGGUAAUACGUAGGUGGCAAGCGUUGUCCGGAUUUACUGGGUGUAAAGGGCGUGCAGCAGGAGAGACAAGUCAGAUGUGAAAUCCAAGGGCUCAACCCGUGUACUGCAUGUGAAACUGUUUGCCUUGAGUGUCGGAGAGGUAAUCGGAAUUCCUUGUGUAGCAGUGAAAUGCGUAGAUAUAAGGAAGAACACCAGUGGCGAAGGCGGAUUACUGGACGAUAACUGACGGUGAGGCGCGAAAGCGUGGGGAGCAAACAGGAUUAGAUACCCUUGUAGUC
rnacentral:rRNA from 1 species